AAGUGUCGGCACUGAAGUUUUGUGGACAACGACGGGGAUUCGUCAAGCAAGAAAUGGACGAUAAUGCAGCGCUUGGGAAGCGGCCAGACUCUACGGAGAGCCUGCAAGACAUCGAUGCUGCAGACAAGAAGACUGCAAGCGCCGCCGGCGACAAGCGGCACGCGUGCGGGCAGUGCGGCGAGCGCUUUCCCC